rnacentral:rRNA from 1 species
UACGUAGGGUGCGAGCGUUGUCCGGAAUUACUGGGCGUAAAGCGUGCGCAGGCGGUUUUGUAAGCCAGAUGUGAAAUCCCCGGGCUUAACCUGGGAAUGGCAUUUGGGACUGCAAGGCUGGAGUGCGGCAGAGGAGACUGGAAUUCCUGGUGUAGCAGUGAAAUGCGUAGAUAUCAGGAGGAACACCGAUGGCGAAGGCAGCUCGCUAGGACGGUACUGACGCUGAGACGCGAAAGCGUGGGGAGCGAACAGG